rfam:Piscirickettsia sp. Y2 scaffold00001, whole genome shotgun sequence.
GGCUAUGUAGCUCAGCUGGUUAGAGCACAGCACUCAUAAUGCUGGGGUCCGCAGUUCAAGUCUGCGCAUAGCCA